AACAGAUUCAGUUCAAUUGUUCACCACUUCGUUCAGUGAGCGCCUUAAACUGUAGGACUUUAUUUACAUUAUACAAUCAAAUAUCGUAAAUUUAAGUUGUUUUUUUUUUUUUCAAUUUAAUGACUUUUUCUAAAAUCAUAUGUAUGUCAAUCGAAUUCAACAAUAUAAUUAUUUAUUCUUAACUAUAUACAACAGUAUAGCUUAUAUAUUUUGUUACAUUUCGUUUUAUUCGUUUUGUUUUAUGAUUUCAGAUACCGCCGGACUGUAAUACGUUUCGUAUACCUAUUAUACUACUGUGUCAUCGUUUUCUUUUCCGGAACUCUGCAGCGGUCGACGGAUAUUCCAGACCCAGACCUAUCGACGGUCCACUAUAAAAUAUAUAGAUGAUCCACUAAUCAGGUAUGCAAAACACACAUCACGAUUUAAAACGAAAAAGCGUAUAUACGUGUAUAAUAAUAAUAUGUAUAUAAAACAUUUUCUUUAUAUACCAUACGCGGGUACGUAUUAUUAUAAUCUAUAGAGCCGUAUAACACUGCGGGCCAAAAAAAAAAAAAAUCCGCUCAUUAUCAUAAUGCGCUGUUAUUAAAAUAUUAUCAAUAACCUCGGGGUACUUAUCGGUUACGACGCAAAUAAAUUCCCUAAAACAAAAUAACAAUAUAUAAUAGUCUUUCUCUCUACAAUAUUAAAUGAAUAGAUAUACUCCUAUAUAAUUUUUUUACUCUCCUGAAUGCAAUAAUUCACUCGUCGUCUUUUUAAGAUUGUAAAAAAAAAAAAGAAGAAAUUUUCAACAAUAUUCAUUGAUUUAUCGAUCUGUACCUGUACCGUUUUUCGUUUACUAGCUAUAUAAAUAUACAUUUCCGCGUUCCGAUUUUUCCACUAAACUCCAUUUACUACACGACACUUUUUGAUUCCGAGUGUAGCAUAGAAACCACUAUUUAGUUGUACUAAGUGAUGUAUUAUUUAUCUUCCCGGAAGUUAAAAUGCUCCUAACUAUUCGACGUCUUACCUUAAAAGAUGCAGAUGUUUGGGUUAUUUAUUUGCAAAAUACGUUUAGUUUUUCUAUUAAUGUACGAUUUAAAAAACCGGACGAAGAAAAUGUUGAGUGUUAUUUUUUGUCGGUUUCGUGGGUCACUCAAGGAAAAAUCGAAAAACACGACGCGAUGAUUUAUCGUUUCUUUCAGUGUAUAAAUAAAAUUACCCUUUAUAUCCUAUAUACAUUUUAAACUUCACUCCUAUUAUGACAUAGCUGACGGCCCGCUCGUGGUGCGAAACGCGUCGGGUAUUUUAUUUUCUAUAUUUCUAAAACGCAUAUCGCUAAACGUAAUUUACAAAAAAACAUAUACAAGUACAUUAGGACGCGUGCGCGCGCUCUGCAGACGAGAUCGUUUUGAUAAAUCGUUAUUAUUCGCCUAUCUCAAAUCGUGUUACGAGAUGAUGGUUCCCGAAAGUAUAUGUAUAAUAUUUAUAGGUAUACCUUAUAUACUCGAGGCCAUAUGGGAUUACGUUUCCGUCAUUAAUUAUUCGAGAACAAUGUGUUGUUAGCGAUUAAAAACACAGAAAAAAAAAAAAAAAAAAUCGUGAAUAAAUAUGAUUAUUAUAUAAAAAACUUAACGAUAUUUUAAUCUCGCCUGGCGAAUAAACGCACGUGGAUCGUGGAGCGAAAACGACGCGGACGCGUGAAAUAUUACUCGACGGCGGCGAUUGAGAAUAUAUUAUCAUGGUAUGCUUUAUAAUAUAAUAUUAUUACUGUCGUCGGAGAAGAACGGAAUCGAAAAUUAUAAUAAUUAAUGUUUGGAUGACAACCCCCCACCCACCUAUCACCGUGAUCAACAGGUAUACAGUCACUUGAGACUCGUAUUUUCCCCAGUCUCUGUUUAAACAAUAAAUUGCAGAUAGCCGAAUUGUAUUAUACCAUAUACUGUAAUAAAUCCUAUACUGCAAAAGAAAAAGAAAAAAAAAAAAGUGAAAUUCGAAACCCCCGAAAUAGGGCGAAUCUUCGGUACGAUUAAUUUCCUAUCCCCCCGACACCGUUUGGUGUUUGGCGUGUCUGUAUUGGCGUGUAUAAAGUUUAAAAGAAAUGCAUUACGUCGUCAAUAGUUUAAAUUGGGCCGAGAUGUCGAAUGCAGGUAAAGCGUGAAGUUCUUCAAUGGAAAACGUGCGGCCAAGGACCGAGCUGAAAAAAUGGCAUUGAAUGAGGACGCGACGAUAAUAAAAAAAAAGGUACGAAAUACGCGCGAAUCGAUUUUGGGCUAGGUAUCUAGAAAAAAAAAAAUCACGCGAUUAUUGCGCUAUGGGGCACUACACCGACUCGGUGCGGGCAACGUCCUUACCUAGCCAUACCGAACUCCGCGCAGAUUUCGACGGACCGAUAUAACGAGCGUACACCAUAUUAUACUGUAGCAGCCUAUACGUCUAGCGUUUGAAAUUUCGCCGGCAAUAAUAAUAAUUGCAGCAAUCGGUGUAUAGGUAUACGAGUACAGUACGUUAUUGGCAGGAAGGUAGGUCGGUCGGUCGGUAGGUAGGUACCUGUACAGGUACUCCGGGUUCCGAUCGGUAUGUUAAUGAAGAACCGUAAUUACCGCGCGGCUGCCGGUGAUGUGUGUGCGGCGCAUCGUCACGAAUACGAAUAACAUUAUUUUCGUGUGGCGGCUUCAGGUCGGAGGCAGAGAGCCGCGGCCGUACACACGAGUUAUUAUUAUAAUUUUUAUGUGUAUCGCACUAUGAUGUGCACCACAUCUACACGCGUAUAUAUAUACACACACAUACAAUAUUAUCGGCUCCCAAUAUUCAUCACCGGUACCUGUAUACACAUACAACAAUAAUAAUAUGUGGGUGGGUGUGAGUACCCGUGCAAAACUCGAUUGCUCGCCCCCGAGCGAAUCGAAUUAUAUUAUUAUUAUUAUAACCGGGCGCAUGCGGUUAACGUACACUAUAAUGAUAUAGCUGGUAUACACUUACCGCCAGUAUUAUCAUCCUGACCUAACCCGUUCGUUCGGAUAAUAAUUUCGAUUACGAAAAGAAAAGAACAAAAAAAAAAAAAAAUCGCAGUUUUACCGCUCGCGCGAACACUGCAGGCGCACAAUGGCUGAUUAUCGUCGACGGCCAUCUCCGCGUCGUCGUCGUCGUCGUCGGCGGCGGGAGACGCGCCCAAACUAAGAAUAAUAUUACGAAAAAAAAAAAAAAAAAAAAAAAAAAGCUAUCGAACAAUAAUAAUACAUAUAAUCUCCGAGGACGCGUGUCGGCGAAAUGCUGCUCUGCGGAUUAUCGUUUUGAUCUCCCCCUCUAGGUGGAUAUUGACCCUAUAUUGAGUCCGCGAUGACCAAUCCGAUGGGACAUUGCGAAUAAACCAUAUUUAAAUCGCUCGGGAAUGGUAAAAAAAAAAAAAAAAAAAAUAAUAAAAACUGACAUUUAUUUUGUCGUCAUAAGAAUGUCCGUGAUCUAUACAAAACAUUUGUGUUAAAAAGCGUCCGAUAAUUUGUUAUCUCUGAAAGUUUUAACUUCCUGGCGUUUAAACAGAUAGCAAUCGGAUCAGAUCCUAUCAACCCCGCCCAACCUAACCUAGCCCGAUAAGAAAAACAAAUCAUAGAACACAACCAUACAUAUUUCGAUAUUACCGUGACACGGGGAUUUCGGCCAACUCCAUUCGCUCGUUCACGUCAAUAAUUAAACGAAAACAACCACUGAUAUUUGUUACGCUAAACCACGUCGGGUAUACCAGAGAAAUACGGUUUUACUGGAGUUUUCCUUUCUUAUUGUCGCGGGGACAGAAAUGCUCGAGGCCUCUAAAAUGGUCUUAUUAAUUUCAUAUUAUGUUAUUGAGAUUAUUACAUAGUAUAGGUGUAUAGUAUUACACGAGCGAAAUGCCCAAUUACAAGAAAAAGUGUUUACAUUAAUAAACCGUCAACAAUAAAUGAACGAAAUCAAUAAUUACGAAAGACGUUCGGUUGAAACUAACGAAGGGUCCUCGCUGGUCAGUUCCGAGGAAUAUUGGAUAGAUAGAUAGACAGGGGGAAUCAAAGACGGACAGAGGAAUAAGAAACAAAACGAGAAAUCAACGAGCUUGGAGUUGAUAGAAAAAAUUAAAAAAUUAGAGACGACGGAGCCCCUUGCGACUCAUCGGACGACGGGAUACGGUGCGUGUAUAAAGAAAGCGGAUCGAAGUGAAUAUAUUCGCCGGAUACGGUCGGACCGAUGGACACACGCGCUCGGGGCCACGAGAAAAAUGUAAAAAUCGAAAAAAAAAAAAAAAAAAAAAAAAGCGGACCGUACGCGGCGGAAACUCCCACACGACGGUCGAACGGACGGGAAUGCGAAACUAUAUUAUGUAGAUACGUUCAGUGGCCAUAAAAAUACCGAUCGGAGCGAUUAGAUGCGGAGCAGGUCGGACGUGUAUACAUUAUACGUACGUUAUUAUAUAUAUAUAUAUAUGUGUGUGUGCACGUAGGUAUAGUAGUUACGAGCGAAAAUGAUUAACGAAAACGAGAUCGAUUAUACCGUCGCGAUAAGGCGCGAAUUUUCGAUCGUAAAAUUUACGCGGCGCGCACCACAUCCGCGGGGACGGAGGAGGUAGACGAGAAAAUAAGAACGAGCGGGGGAAAAAAAAAAAACGUUGUCCGGUGGUGUCCGAAUAGCAGCUAUAUUGCAACCGUGUUUAUUUUCACGCCGGUGGAACAUAUUUUAACGCGCGAUUGUGUGUGUGUGCCGGACUAUAAUACAGUGACGCAAUUGUUUUUUUUUUUUUUUUUUUUAAUUAAAUUACCAUUGCCGCGGAGAAAAACGCGAGAUCCGCGUUUAUCCAUUAUUUUCGUGUUUUGUACGCCGAAAUGACGCAAUGACUCCGACGCGCAGAUGUAUUAUUAAUAGUCCGCGUUAUUAUUACGAUCUUUUGAUUACGCGUUUCGUCCGUCGUUGUCGGUGAUUUUUUUUUUUUUUUUUAUGGUCUCGUUCUUUGUCUCCUCGGCCGCUUAACCGUCCGUACUUACACGCGAAACGUUUCGCUGGCCGACGUUUUUUGCGAAAUCGUCCCCGGCCCGUAUACGUGCUAUUAUAUUCUGUCAAGUUUUAAUCGAGAGACGCUUCGCAAAAGCGCGACAACGCAAUGCCAUCGGAUUCGACAUUCAAGAAACGUCGCGGGUACUGGCCGGACAAUGUCCUUUGAGCUCAAACUGCGACGGAUCGAAUUAAAAAAUAAUAUAUAACAUAAGAGAUCGAUUUUGUUAUUUUUUUAUUACUAUUUGUUAUACGACCCGCGGUGAAAGUGUGGUCGAAAAUCAAUAGCCGACGACAUUAUAUAUAUAUAUAUAUAUAGACAUUACCUAUAUUAUUGCAUAUUAUCGACGAGAGAUCUACUUCGGAUCAGCGACGGCGGCGGCGGUCCAGUUUUGAGUCGGAGCCUUUUAAACUG